rnacentral:rRNA from 1 species
AGGGUUUGAUCAUGGCUCAGAUUGAACGCUGGCGGUAGGCUUAACACAUGCAAGUCGUGCGAGAAAGUAUCUUCGGAUAUAAGUAGAGCGGCGGACGGGUGAGUAACGCGUAGGAAUCUACCUAGUAGAAGGGGAUAGCCCGAGGAAACUCGGAUUAAUACCGUAUACCUCCUUAGGGAGAAAGAGGGCCUCUCUUGAAGCUCUCGCUAUUAGAUGAGCCUGCGUAAGAUUAGCUUGUUGGUGAGGUAAUGGCUCACCAAGGCUACGAUCUUUAGCUGGUCUGAGAGGACGAUCAGCCACAUUGGGACUGAGACACGGCCCAGACUCCUACGGGGGGCAGCAGUGGGGAAUAUUGGACAAUGGGCGCAAGCCUGAUCCAGCCAUACCGCGUGUGUGAAGAAGGCCCUAGGGUUGUAAAGCACUUUAAGCAGGGAGAAAAAGUUAUGAGUUAAUACCUCAUAACCUUGAUGUUACCUGCAGAAUAAGCACCGGCUAAUUCCGUGCCAGCCGCCGCGGUAAUAC